AUUGAACGCUGGCGGAAUGCUUUACACAUGCAAGUCGAACGGCAGCACGGACUUCGGUCUGGUGGCGAGUGGCGAACGGGUGAGUAAUGUAUCGGAACGUGCCCAGUCGUGGGGGAUAACGUAGUGAAAAUUACGCUAAUACCGCAUACGAUCUAUGGAUGAAAGCGGGGGAUCGCAAGACCUCGCGCGAUUGGAGCGGCCGAGGACAGAUUAGGUAGGUGGUGGGGAGAAGGCCCACCAAGCCAACGAUCUGUAGCUCGUCUGAGAGUACUCCAGACCACAAUAGAACUGAGAAGCAGUCCAGACUCCUACGGGAGGCAGCAGUGGGGAAUUUUGUACAAUGGGCGAAAGCCUGAUCCAGCAAUGCCGCGUGCAGGAUGAAGGCCCUCGGGUUGUAAACUGCUUUUGUACAGAACGAAAAGGUUUCUACUAAUACUAGGAGCUCAUGACGGUACUGUAAGAAUAAGCACCGGCUAACUACGUGCCAGCCGCCGCGGUAA
rnacentral:rRNA from 1 species